UCAUCGGUUUGACGACAGUUGACCUUUAAAAAAAGAUGCAGGAGGAUGGCUCUUGAGGAUUGUAUUUGGACAUACCUGAUGUAGAAGAAGCAAGCCAUUUUUUGUGACAAGGUUUAGUGAUAAUGAUUGAAUAUUUUUGAAUUUUUUUAGAUACAACAUUAUCUUUGGUAGCUUUGAUGGUUUUUUCUCGAAAGGUGCUGUAUCUUCCAUAAAUGUACAUUUAUGGUUUAAAAAGAUAUGUAUUUUACUUCUGUACUUUAGCUGUGUUGCGCAGAUAAUGUAUCUUGGUGCAGUUUCCAACAACCUGGCAUCUACCACACUGGCUUUCUUUCAGGGUUCAGUGGAGGAGUUUGGUUUCCCCCUCAGGGUACGUGCUGAUCAAGGGGUGGAAAACGUGGAGGUUGCAUGUCUCUUGUUAUUGGUUCGUGGGACAAGAAGAAGCAGCUUCAUAUCUGGAAAGAGUGUUCACAAUCAAAGGAUUGAGCGACUGUGGAGAGACCUGUUGGAGCUGUGACAUGCAUUUAUUAUGAUGUGCUUCACUACUUUGAAGGGGAGGGGUACCUCAACAUUUCAAAUGUUGCACACCUCUUCUG